GGGGGGGGGGGGGAUGAGGUUAAAAUUGAGAAACAGAACGCUGGGGUUCCAAGCUACAACGUUAAGGUGCUUUUGACCUUCAAGUGGGCUUUGUGGAUUUCAAUGUUUUUAAAACUUGCUUUCUGAGUCGCUAUUAAUCGAAUACGUAGUAGCUGAACGUUUUGGCGAAGAACGAGGAGAGGAAUCGACGAUCUGGUUUGGCGUCAGGCGCUGGCUAAUUCGAUCUGACGGUUACAGUUUUGAUUUGUGAAACGGGUUCUUAGACCCACUUGAUGGGUCGGUGAGUUGGUCCUCGGGAAGAGCUGAAAUGUACGAGAAGGAUUAUCACUUUAUCGCUGUCUACUAAAUCAGGUGAGAGGCAGACGAGUUGAAUCAAAUCUACCAAGUGUACUUCUAACCCGAAAGAGCUUUAUUUCGAAUUCCCGCUCAUCUACUGCGACGUUGAUUUUUUUUUUGUCAUGAAUUUUAAAAGGAGGAUUUGUUUUCACGAGAGUUCUGCGUGUUGGGAGUCGAAAACCCCAUUGACUUUGACCUGUGGUUGAUAAAGAGGAAAUGACAUCAUGGCGUGGACCCCCCACCCCUCUGCCUUCUGAAAAUUCGGGGGCCAUUUUACGCACCUUAUGGGAAAACCAAAAGGAAACCUCGGAAUGCCUCCGCACCUCAGGUCAGCCUGAGAGGCGGUUUUUGAAACGCACGUCCCCUUCAGCGGCGAGUUUUACCCCAGGACUGGUGAUUACAACGCUCUCGCUCAGAUUAUCUGUGUCAUCAUAACGAGGCUCUGGUUCUGAUAGGCUGAUUACAGCGUUCGCUCAGAUUACUCUGUGUCAUCAUAACGAGGCUCUGGUUCUGAUAGGCUGAUUACAGCGUUCGCUCAGAUUACUCUGUGUCAUCAUAACGAGGCUCUGGUUCUGAUAGGCUGAUUAAAGUGCUUGCUCAGAUUACUCUGUGUCAUAAUAACGGGGCUCUGGUUCUGAUAGGCUGAACUGAAGCACAAAUAUGCUGUGGCCCAAUACGGUUACACCUCAGACAGCUUGAGAGGGUAAGAGAGUGGGUCACUGUCGCUCAUCGCUAAAAUACGCUUUGUGUAAAAUGGAGGCUGCCCAGCCCUGUUCCUGGAGAUCUACCCUCUUUUACGUUUUCAUUUCAACCCUAAUUUGGCACACCUGAUUCUAAAAAAUGAGCAGCUCAGUCUGAUCUCUAGCUGUUGACUGAGGGGUGCUUUGUUAGGGUUGGACUGCAAACCUACAGGACAGUAGAUCCCCAGGAACAGGAUUGGGCAGCCUUUGAUGUAAAACUCUGAGGACACCACAAGCCUCCAUCCACAGAGGACAGACAGACAGAGAGAGAGAGUGGUGAGAGAUUUCCUUGCUCUCAUUACCAGUCUUGUAAUUUUGGCAGAAUCAUGGAUGUUGAUCUGCCAGACUGAUCACAAACAUUUUUUUUGUGUAGAUCAUAGAUUACAGAACUACUAGACUGAACACAGCAUUUACCAGAGGUUUUCUCAAAAAGUCCCGUCCAGUAACAUAGCCUGAACAGAAGCCCCUCGCGGAAAACCUUGAUGGAGCCCUGAUUAGAACCUCCCAAUUUAAACCAAAGCAGCAUCCAGCAUGGAUCUAAGAAGAGUAGACUGGCCCAGUGUGGUCGAAGCCCAGAUAGUAUGAAUUGUGUCUGUCACAUUCCGUAUGGGUGAAACAUGAUCUAGAUGCUCUUGACUAGUGCUUGCAAGGUAUUGUGGGAUGUCAGGAAUGUUGCCUGAGGUGUGGGGUUUGUGUUCUGGAAAAUAAGAGUUUGGGGGUGUUCCCCCUUGUGUGUGUAUGGUGUCGACUCUCACAGGCCCAAUUUUGGGGUAAAUCGAGGGGUGCCCACAUUCAGGUAUAAAUUUUUUAAUCCAAUCCGUUCAUGUGUUGAGUUUGGAGUUUUUUUUUUAAAGUUUUUUUUUUAAUAAAGGAGUCAAGCAAAGCCUUUAAAAUCAUUUUUAGGACCUUAUUGUCAAAAGUUCUGAACCUUCUGUGUCCUGGUUCUGCUUAGAGUUUAGAGAUUUUGCAUCAUUUCACUGGUGAAGUGGCUUGACCGUUCUCGAGAAGCAGCCAUUUUGUUUGCUUCUUGUCCAUCUGCUACUUGCCCCUCCUUGAAAGUCUUUGGGAAGCUGACUGGUUCUUUCUUCUUCACAAAUCAGUCCCUCCUCUUACAGAGUUUGUGUCUAAGCACAAUCCUACUUCAUCUCUCUUGCAAUGUAAAUAUGUUUAUUUGUUUUUAAUUUAUGUUUAUUGCAGAAAUCAAUCCAUUUGGGUUGGUGGUAUAUAUGAAUGCACUUCAUGCAAUAAUUGUCAAGUGCAUUGAAAUAUUGUGACUUCUUACAAGUCUAAAUUUAAUAAAAAAAAUGUUCUAUGACA